AUGCACGCUGGCGGCGUGCCUCAUCCAUGCCAGUCGAGCGAACGGACGAGAAGCUUGCUUCUCUGAUGUUAGCGGCGGACGGGUGAGUAACACGUGGAUAACCUACCUAUAAGACUGGGAUAACUUCGGGAAACCGGAGCUAAUACCGGAUGAUAUUUUGAACCGCAUGGUUCAAAAGUGAAAGACGGUCUUGCUGUCACUUAUAGAUGGAUCCGCGGUGCAUUAGCUAGUUGGUAAGGUAACGGCUUACCAAGGCAACGAUGCAUAGCCGACCUGAGAGGGUGAUCGGCCACACUGGAACUGAGACACGGUCCAGACUCCUACGGGAGGCAGCAGUAGGGAAUCUUCCGCAAUGGGCGAAAGCCUGACGGAGCAACGCCGCGUGAGUGAUGAAGGUCUUCGGAUCGUAAAACUCUGUUAUUAGGGAAGAACAUAUGUGUAAGUAACUGUGCACAUCUUGACGGUACCUAAUCAGAAAGCCACGGCUAACUACGUG
rnacentral:rRNA from 1 species